GACGAACGCUGGCGGCGUGCCUAAUACAUGCAAGUCGAACGCAGUGGGGACGGGUGAGUAACACGUGGGUAACCUCCCAUCAGAGGGGAUAACACUUGGAAACAGGUGCUAAACCGAUACUGAUGGAUGGACCCGCGGUGGAUUAGCUAGUUGGUGAGGUAACGGCUCACCAAGGCUACGAUGCAUAGCCGAUCUGAGAGGGUGAUCAGCCACACUGGGACUGAGACACGGCCCAGACUCCUACGGGAGGCAGCAGUGGGGAAUCUUGGGCAAUGGACGAAAGUCUGACCGAGCAACGCCGCGUGAGUGAAGAAGGUUUUCGGAUCGUAAAGCUCUGUUGUUAGGGAGGCGGUAUCUAACCAGAAAGCCACGGCUAACUACGUGCCAGCAGCCGCGGUAAUUC
rnacentral:rRNA from 1 species